rnacentral:snoRNA from 1 species
UUUUAAUGAUGAUAAAUUGUUUAUUUGCAAGUAGGGACAUGAGAAUAUAAAAUGUGUUCGCUUUUACAUUUUCUGAAAAAA